CAGAGACUGCAAGCGUUAUUCGGAUUCACUGGGCGUAAAGGGUGCGCAGGCGGCCAUGUGUGUAAGGCGUGAAAGCCCGGGGCUUAACCCCGGAAUUGCACCUCAAACUACAUGGCUAGAGCAUUGGAGAGGGUAGCAGAAUUCAUGGUGUAGCAGUGAAAUGCGUAGAUAUCAUGAGGAAUACCAGAGGCGAAGGCGGCUACCUGGACAAUUGCUGACGCUCAGGCACGAAAGCGUGGGGAGCAAAAGGGACUAGAUACCCCUGUAGUCCACGCCCUAAACGGUGCACACUAGGUCUUGGCGGAUUCGACCCCCCCAGGGCCCAAGCUAACGCGUUAAGUGUGCCGCCUGAGGACUACGGCCGCAAGGCUA
rnacentral:rRNA from 1 species